ACGAUCCCUAGCUGGUCUGAGAGGAUGAUCAGCCACACUGGAACUGAGACACGGUCCAGACUCCUACGGGAGGCAGCAGUGGGGAAUAUUGCACAAUGGGCGCAAGCCUGAUGCAGCCAUGCCGCGUGUGUGAAGAAGGCCUUCGGGUUGUAAAGCACUUUCAGUCGUGAGGAAGGUAGUGUAGUUAAUAGCUGCAUUAUUUGACGUUAGCGACAGAAGAAGCACCGGCUAACUCCGUGCCAGCAGCCGCGGUAAUACGGAGGGUGCGAGCGUUAAUCGGAAUUACUGGGCGUAAAGCGCAUGCAGGUGGUUUGUUAAGUCAGAUGUGAAAGCCCGGGGCUCAACCUCGGAAUUGCAUUUGAAACUGGCAGACUAGAGUACUGUAGAGGGGGGUAGAAUUUCAGGUGUAGCGGUGAAAUGCGUAGAGAUCUGAAGGAAUACCGGUGGCGAAGGCGGCCCCCUGGACAGAUACUGACACUCAGAUGCGAAAGCGUGGGGAGCAAACAGGAUUAGAUACCCUGGUAGUCCACGCCGUAAACGAUGUCUACUUGGAGGUUGUGGCCUUGAGCCGUGGCUUUCGGAGCUAACGCGUUAAGUAGACCGCCUGGGGAGUACGGUCGCAAGAUUAAAACUCAAAUGAAUUGACGGGGGCCCGCACAAGCGGUGGAGCAUGUGGUUUAAUUCGAUGCAACGCGAAGAACCUUACCUACUCUUGACAUCCAGAGAACUUUCCAGAGAUGGAUUGGUGCCUUCGGGAACUCUGAGACAGGUGCUGCAUGGCUGUCGUCAGCUCGUGUUGUGAAAUGUUGGGUUAAGUCCCGCAACGAGCGCAACCCUUAUCCUUGUUUGCCAGCGAGUAAUGUCGGGAACUCCAGGGAGACUGCCGGUGAUAAACCGGAGGAAGGUGGGGACGACGUCAAGUCAUCAUGGCCCUUACGAGUAGGGCUACACACGUGCUACAAUGGCGCAUACAGAGGGCGGCCAACUUGCGAAAGUGAGCGAAUCCCAAAAAGUGCGUCGUAGUCCGGAUUGGAGUCUGCAACUCGACUCCAUGAAGUCGGAAUCGCUAGUAAUCGUGGAUCAGAAUGCCACGGUGAAUACGUUCCCGGGCCUUGUACACACCGCCCGUCACACCAUGGGAGUGGGCUGCAAAAGAAGUAGGUAGUUUAACCUUCGGGGGGACGCUUACCACUUUGUGGUUCAUGACUGGGGUGAAGUCGUAACAAGGUAGCGCUAGGGGAACCUGGCGCUGGAUCACCUCCUUAAACGAUGAU
rnacentral:rRNA from 1 species